GACGUAGGGCGCGAGCGUUGUCCGGAUUUAUUGGGCGUAAAGAGCUCGUAGGCGGCUUGUCGCGUCGACUGUGAAAUCCCGCGGCUCAACCGCGGGUCUGCAGUCGAUACGGGCAGGCUAGAGUUCGGUAGGGGAGACUGGAAUUCCUGUGUAGCGGUGAAAUGCGCAGAUAUCAGGAGGAACACCGGUGGCGAAGGCGGGUCUCUGGGCCGAUACUGACGUGAGGAGCGAAAGCGUGGGGGAGCGAAACAGG
rnacentral:rRNA from 1 species